UAUCUUCGGGGCAGGGUGAAAUUCCCGACCGGCGGUGAUGAAGAUGUUUUUCUAAGCCCGCGAGCUGUGAUUUUUGCAGCAGGAUUUGGUGUGAUUCCAAAGCCGACAGUACAGUCUGGAUGGGAGAAGGUG
rnacentral:ncRNA from 1 species